CAGUCACAGUUCGGAUUNAAGGCUGAAAUUCGCCUUCAUGAAGCCGGAAUUGCUAGUAAUGGCAGGUCAGCAUACUGCCGUGAAUACGUUCCCGGGCCUUGUACACACCGCCCGUCACACCAUGAGAGUUGGGGAUACCCGAAGCCUGUGAGCCAACUGUAAAGAGGCAGCAGUCGAAGGUAGAAUCAAUGAUUGGGGUGAAGUCGUAACAAGGUAUC
rnacentral:rRNA from 1 species